rnacentral:lncRNA from 1 species
GGGACGCUAAGACAAAAACACUGGAGUGGCAUGUGACGGGUUGAUAGUCGGACACUCCUAAGCAGAUCCUUUUUUCCUCAAAACUUUUUAACCAGGGUCAACAAAAUGGUGCUGCAGUUGGAUCUCUGCGAGGUCUCCCAGUGGUCACACUGCAGACUGGCUGACUCGGCUUGUUUCUUUUCACUGUUUACUCUGGCAAGUCAAGUCAAGGUCCUGCUGAGAGCUAUUCUUGAGGUACAUAAUUUUUGUCACUUUGGCUCCACCACCAGCAAAGAUGCAUAAAUACUUUGCUGGUUUUUUUCUUUCGUGUUUUUUUUUUUUUUUUAACAAUUCGAUCCAAAAACACACACAUCCAGAAACACAGAGUAAAUGAUUCGCUUAAGAAAAUAACUGCAA